rnacentral:rRNA from 1 species
AGAGUUUGAUCAUGGCUCAGGACGAACGCUGGCGGCGCGCCUAAAACAUGCAAGUCGAACGAGAAGCCCGGGCUUGCCCGGGUGGACAGUGGCGAACGGGUGAGUAACACGUGAGGAACCUGCCCCGAAGACCGGGACAACACCGGGAAACCGGUGCUAAUACCGGAUACCUUCACCGGAUCGCAUGGUCUGGUGAAGAAAUGGAUUCCGCUUCGGGAUGGCCUCGCGGCCUAUCAGCUAGUUGGUGAGGUAACGGCUCACCAAGGCGACGACGGGUAGCUGGUCUGAGAGGAUGUCCAGCCACACUGGGACUGAGACACGGCCCAGACUCCUACGGGAGGCAGCAGUUAGGAAUCUUGCGCAAUGGACGAAAGUCUGACGCAGCGACGCCGCGUGCGGGAUGAAGGCCUUCGGGUUGUAAACCGCUUUCAGCAGGGACGAAAUUGACGGUACCUGCAGAAGAAGCCCCGGCCAACUACGUGCCAGCAGCCGCGGUA